GCCAUCUUGACGACUGGUGCGAGCAGCGGCAAACGAGUUCCUUCGGCAUCCGGCACUACUGCAGGGGACGGUGAUUUUGUCUUUUCUUGCCGGUCAUGCCGCCCAAGAGGAAUUCCAGCUCCCUCGACAGUGCUGGGCACCGGAUUUGCUACAGCUGAUGACGUCUCUGUACCCUGUCUCAACAGCUCGAUAAGACGCAUACCGUCCACCCCUACUGCACUCGACUUUCAGUGCAUGUGCUGUUUGGGAAGGUUUUAUCACCGUUAGUGGAUAGUGCUGUUCCCUUUUUACUGCGAGGGAAAUUGUAGCUUGUAUAACCCGUAGCGGUACGAGAGCAGGAAGGAGAGCCACCUUGACGACUGGUAUGAGCAGCGGCAGACGGGUUCCUUCGCCUGCCGGCAGAUUCCGACGGUCUACUGCAGGGAACGGCGAUUUUGUCUCUUCUUGCCGGUGAUGCCGCCUCGGAGGAAUUCCAACUCACUACAGUGGCACAGUACCUGAGACAGUAACGUACGGAGGACGUGCUGUAGCAACAGCUCGGCAGCACCUCCGUCGUCCUGACACCCCGCUGUGCCUGAACUUGACAGUACCGACGCUUUCGAGCCACAGCGACCCCAGGUCAGAAGACUUCCUCAUCGACUUGGACGCUUGCCAGACUACCGUCAGUCACCGACGAGGUCGUCGGGCGUAGAGUACCGUCCGCAGCUCCUGGCUGACUGUCCUUCCCCGUGACAUCAUGCAUUGCAAGACGUUUGAAAAGGUGGGCGGGAGUGCGGUGAUAUCAAGGUGUUGCGCGGAUAGUCCCCUUGGACGUGCAGCCUCGCUUUUCUACUGCGCGGCAUCCUGAAGCUUUUUAAGAUUGUUAACCUCAUCAAUGCAUUUUCACGAGUUGUUGCUGGCGGUGGGCAGAUUACAACGCAGUGGUCUUCUGCAGGGAACGGUGGUGUAUGCAAAUAAACAUGCUGUUAUUCGUUAAA